rnacentral:tRNA from 1 species
GACGGGGUGGUCGAGUGGUCUAAGACGUCAGCUUCAGGUGCUGAUCUAUGUAAAUAGGCAAGGGUUCGAAUCCCUUCCUCGUCA